rnacentral:rRNA from 1 species
AGCGAACGCUGGCGGCAGGCCUAACACAUGCAAGUCGAACGAAGCCUUCGGACUUCGUGCCGGACGGGUGACUAACACGUGGGAACGCGCCUUUAGGUUCGGAAUAACUCAGGGACACUUGUGCUAAUACCCAAUGUGACCUACGGCGGAAAGAUUUAUCGCCUUUAGAGCGGCCCGCGUCUUAUUAGCUAGUUGGUGAGGUAAUGCCUCACCAAGGCUACGAUCAGUAGCUGGUCUGAGAGUAUGACCAGCCACAUUGGGACUGAGAAACGGCCCAAACUCCUACGGGAGGCAGCAGUGGGGAAUCUUGCGCAAUGGGCGAAAGCCUGACGCAGCCAUGCCGCGUGGAUGAUGAAGGUCUUAGGAUUGUAAAAUCCUUUCACCGGUGAAGAUAAUGACUGUAGCCGGAGAAGAAGCCCCGGCUAACUUCGUGCCAGCCGCCGCGGUAAUAC